rnacentral:rRNA from 1 species
GACGAACGCUGGCGGCGUGCCUAAUACAUGCAAGUCGAACGGUCUUUUCUAUGGAAGCUUGCUUCCGCUGAGAAGAUAGUGGCGAACGGGUGAGUAACACGUGGGUAACCUGCCCAUAAGAGGGGGAUAACAUCCGGAAACGGGUGCUAAUACCGCAUAGUUUUCUUGAUCGCAUGAUUGAGAAAGGAAAGACGGCCUUUGUGCUGUCGCUUAUGGAUGGACCCGCGGCGUAUUAGUUAGUUGGUGAGGUAACGGCUCACCAAGACGAUGAUACGUAGCCGACCUGGGAGGGUGAUCGGCCACAUUGGGACUGAGACACGGCCCAAACUCCUACGGGAGGCAGCAGUAGGGAAUCUUCCGCAAUGGACGAAAGUCUGACGGAGCAACGCCGCGUGAGUGAAGAAGGUUCUCGGAUCGUAAAACUCUGUUGUCAGAGAAGAACAAGUCGGAGAGUAACUGCUCCGGCCUUGACGGUAUCUGACCAGAAAGCCACGGCUAACUACGUGCCAGCCGCCGCCGUAACAC